rnacentral:ncRNA from 2 species
UUCUUAUCAAGAGAGGCGGAGGGACAGGCCCUAUGAAGCCCGGCAACCGGCUCAUCGCACAGAUGGGUGUCGCGGUGCCAAUUCCUACAAGAUCGGCUGAAUCUUGAGAGAUGAGAA